GUCUCCGUAGCUCAGUGGAUUAGAGCAUUGGUUUCCGGUACCAAAGGUCGCAGGUUCGAAUCCUGUCGGGGACACCA
rnacentral:tRNA from 4 species